CAACCUCAAUGGAUAAGGUAUAUUAAAUAGUAAUGCUCCUUCCAUUUCAUAAUGUCAUUACUUCUUCAGCAUCAUGGGAGAAAAUCUUACUGUCAGGGUUCAGAGGAUGUUGUACGGAAUGAAGUUGGUUGAUUUGACGAAGAAGAAAACAUUUUUAGUCUUGUGGCUGCGCGUCUAGCUGUUGAUGCAGCUGAUGAGAAGUCGGCUAU